rnacentral:lncRNA from 1 species
UACAUAUACAUAUACAUAUACAUAUACAUAUACAUAUACAUAUACAUAUAUGAGUCAACACAGUAAGGCAUUGAUAAAAGUACCACACAGGCCACUGUCGUAAAAGUCAGAUUGUAUUUUGCCCCCUCUACUAAAAACUGUGCAAAUUAGUCCUUGUAUAUUAGAUCAAAAACCAAACUGGUCCUUUUUGUUAAAAGUUUCAUCCCUCUAUAUUCUUAAAAACUGUCUUGAUUGAUGAAAUAAUCAAACAUAGACAUGUGUUGUGUCACAUAUACUUCAUGCUGAAGUACAAGACUAGUUUUUAAUAAUUUUUAACAGAAGGACUAGUUUUAACAGUAGAAAUUAAUGGAAUUUUUAGCAAAAGGACUAGUUUGCUCUUUAAUCUAACCUAAAGGGACUGAUUUGUCCAUUUUUUUAGUAAGGGGGGAAAAUGCC